GUCUGUGGGUGGCUUGGCUUUCUCGAGAUUUGCUCCCUGCCAGAGUGCGGACUGGACCCUGGCCUGCCUAGCUUAAAAAGGACUUACUCUCCGUUAAUGUGAAGGAAAUCUCCACCUAAGCCUUCCGGGGCAGGAGUUUGUGGCCCACAUAAGAGCCUGGCUCCCGACCCUCCCAAAGGAUAGAGGAGCAGUAAUCACACGGUCGUCCUCUUUUCCUUCUGAUGAGUUUUCAAAUUAGCCAUUCCCAGCUCAAGAAUAUCACUGGCAUCUUGUCUGGAAGUCAUUCAUUCAAGAACUUCAUGAAGCACCUGCUGUGUGCCAGGCACUGGAUCAAGUACUGGAGUUACAGGAGCUUGAACAAAGCUGAUAAACUUUGCUGCUCUGGUGGCGAUGGGAGUGGGGGUGGCUAUGGAAGAGAGGUGACAAACUAAACAAGAUACACAGUCUCUGCUCAAAGGAGUUUGGUUUCUGUAAGGAGGGAGAUGGAAAGCUGUUGGGAGGCUCUAAACAGAAUAACAUCGUGAUUUCCAG
ensembl:lncRNA